rnacentral:rRNA from 1 species
GCAAGUCGAGGGGCAGCAUUUCUAGCUUGCUAGAAGAUGGCGACCGGCGCACGGGUGAGUAACGCGUAUGCAACCUACCUUAUACUGGGGGAUAGCCCAAAGAAAUUUGGAUUAAUACCGCAUAACAAUAUUUUAUCGCAUGGUAAGAUAUUUAAAACUCCGGUGGUAUAAGAUGGGCAUGCGUAGCAUUAGUUAGUUGGUGAGGUAAUGGCUCACCAAGACUACGAUAGGUAGGGGGUCUGAGAGGAUGAUC